rnacentral:lncRNA from 1 species
GAGGUUAUAAACUUUUGCUUUGAUAGCAAUACUCAAUUUAGCAUUGUUUAAAAAAGCAUACAAAAUGUUGUUUGGAACAGACAAUCAUAAGAAAUUUUGGUUAGUCACAGACAAAAUGUACAUGGUCUUUCUCAUUGCCAUAUUUCUUCUUCUGUAACCACACACAAUCUCAAAACCUAUGUAGAUGUACAGAAUAACUACAAUAAACUAGAUGUGUCAAAACCACACAAACCAGAAGGUAGUCUCACAUAUAUAACCAGAUGCUCCGCAGGGGACAGCUUUAUACAACCGCAGAGGACGAACCAUGAACAGUUGGGGCAAGUAUGGACAUAACAUUUAAGCUUGAUACAGCUCUGAAUUUGGAUUGUGAUUAAAUAGUUGACACAACAUAGGUUUCUGUUGUUUCCUAUAUUUGUUUAGGGGCCAGCUGAAGGAUGCCUCUGGGUGCAGGAAUUUCUCGUUACAUUGAAGACUUGUUGGUGACCUUCUGCUGUUGUCUGCUCUAUGGUCGGGUUGUUGUCUCUUUGGCACAUUCCCCAUUUCCAUUCUCAAUUUUAUUCUGACACAGAAUGAAUGUGGUCCAAGAACUUUAACUUAAAAACUUAAAAUUUUUACCUAUUAUGGUCCAAUAUCCAAAAUCUAAAUACAUGGUUUAAGAUUCAGCAUAUCAUAGAACCCCAAGAAUUCAAUUUUUG